rnacentral:rRNA from 1 species
AAUCAACGCUGGCGGCGUGCCUAACACAUGCAAGUCGAACGCCGUAGCAAUACGGAGUGGCAGACGGGUGAGUAACACGUGGGAACGUACCCUUCGGUUCGGAAUAACUCAGGGAAACUUGAGCUAAAACCGGAUACGUCCGAGAGGAGAAAGAUUUAUCGCCGAGGGAUCGGCCCGCGUCUGAUUAGCUUGUUGGUGAGGUAACGGCUCACCAAGGCGACGAUCAGUAGCUGGUCNGAGAGGAUGAUCAGCCACAUUGGGACUGAGACACGGCCCAAACUCCUACGGGAGGCAGCAGUGGGGAAUAUUGGACAAUGGGCGCAAGCCUGAUCCAGCCAUGCCGCGUGAGUGAUGGAGGCCCUAGGGUUGUAAAGCUCUUUUACCCGGGAAGAUAAUGACUGUACCGGGAGAAUAAGCCCCGGCUAACUUCGUGCCAGCAGCCGCAGUAAG